AAUAUUUAUUUUUUAGUUAUUGGCGGACACAACAUCUUUGUAUGUGGUGCUGAGGAUCGAACCUGGGCCGCACGCAUGCCAGGUAAGCGCGCUACUGCUUGAGCCACAUCCCAGCCCCACGAUUCCUCUUUCAAGGGUUAUGAUUUCUUUGCCAUUUUUUAUUUUGAAUUUAUGUUUUCUAACUUGCUUCUUGAUCAAGUUAGUGGUUUGGCUACUUUUGUGACUUUAUUCAAAAAACCAGAAUUUUGAGUGAUUAAUUAGAUCUUCUGCUUUUCUAUUCUAUGCUUAAGUAAUUUCUACCACUAUGAAGUUCUUUUUGAUCAUUGUUUUAAUGCAGCCCAGAGUCUGUGUAGAAACUCCAGUCCCUCUUUCAGUCAGUGCUUCCUCCCAUCAAAGGAACCACUCCCCUGGCUGCUCUCACUAGUUUUGUCCUUUUUUGGUAUUCCUACCUGUGAAGUCAGAGAGUAUGUAAUGUUUUAUGUCUGGCUUUUUUCACUCAAUGUCAUGUAUAUGAGGGUCAAUGUAUAUACCAGUAGUUCCUUGCUGAUGAUAAUUUAUUUUAUAAAUUUAUUUAUCUGUCAGCACAUUAUUACUGAUAAUGAAUAUUCUCUGAGCAACCUACUGUGUGUUGGGCUUUGCAAUAACACCAAUCUUUUUUUUUUUUUAGAGAGAGAGAGAGAGAGAAUUUUUUUUUUAAUAUUUAUUUUUUAGUUUUCGGCAGACACAACAUCUUUGUAUGUGGUGCUGAGGAUCAAACCCGGGUCGCAUGCUUGCCAGGCGAGUGCGCCACCGCUUGAGCCACCUCCCCAGCCCAUAACACCAAUCUUAACCAAGGGCUGUGAUUAAUCCUAUGCCCAGCAUGCCUGACAUGAUAUACACUGCAAAAUACAAAAACAGAACGAUAAGAGUACAUUUCAUCAUCACUGCUGCAGCUUUGCUGAGGUUAGAGAAAUAGCCACUAGGAUGAUGCUUAAGACCACGGUGAGAAGGCCUUCAACUAUUCAUCUUGAAAGGAGUGGUUCUCAACCUUCUGCAUGAGAACUACCAGAAAGGCUUGAUGAAACACAGUUUGUGGGGAGCUUCAGCCCCCAGAGUUUCAUAUUCAGUAGGUCUUGGGUGGGACCUGACAAGACAGUUCUAACAAGCCUCCAGGGGAUGCUGCUGUGCUGGUCUAGGGAUCACACCUUGGAAAGCACUACUUCAGGGUGCCAGGAUAACAGAACUUGAUGUGGUUCUUUCACCAUCAUCAGAGGCAGCUCAGGGUUCCUGCGUCUCUUCUGUAACCCGAAUUAUCAGUGCCGCAGUCUGGCUGGGCACAAAAUCACGAGCCACCACACAGCUUGUAGAUUCAAACAGCAACUCUUUAUUCCCGAACUCACACCAGCCGUCUACAAUCACGUUCUGGGGAAAUCCACGUUCUCUGCCCAAAUCCACCCCCACUGGGCUUCUGUCUCCCCAAAAAUACUGUCUGAAUCCCGUGAGAACUCAAGGGGAACUCAGGCAGCAGGAUAUGCCCUAUUCCCAGCAGGAAUAACCUUAAACCUGGAUCCACCCUAAACCCGGAUAGUCCUAAACCGGGAACGCCCUAAACCCGGAUUAUCCUAAACCGGGAACAGCCUAAACCCGGAUCCGCCCUGGUCCUUGAGCAAGGUCACCUUAGAUGCAAUGUCACUGCAAAAUGUCCUAUUUCCACGAGUCCUUCCACUAAGCAACAUGGGGUAUGCUGGCAAGGAAAUUGUCAUACCUACUUGGCUAAUGGCUCCCAGCAAUCAGGAGUUACUUGAGCCAAGAACUGGUGCUAGAGGGCUCUCAGACACUUAGGCUUGGAAUGAAUCAUCAGGGGUCUCUCUCUAGGUACUGAACUGGUAUGGAGGAAGCUAGGCUCAGCAGUGCUGUCACCUGUGAUGCUUUUUUUGUAUCAAUGAGGAGGGGGCAAAAGGCAUCUAGUACAGAUAUAUGAUCAGUAGGAUAGGGAAGAUGGGGACUGGUUUUAUUUUUUUUCAGUAUAUAAACUAUUUAUUAACAGAAAAGACCUACAGACUCAUUUCUUUUUCUUUUUUUAAAAUUUUUUAUUGUUAGUUGUUCAAAACAUUACAUAGUUCUUGACAUAUCAUAUUUCACACUCUGAUUCAAGUGGGUUAUGAACUCCCAUUUUUACCCCAUAUACAGAUUGCAGAAUCACAUCAGUUACACAUCCAUUGAUUUACAUAUUGCCAUACUAGUGUCUGUUGUGUUCUGCUGCCUUUCCUAUCCUCUACUAUCCCCCCUCCCCUCCCCUCCCCUCCCCUCUUCUCUCUCUACCCCCUCUACUGUCAUUCAUUUCUCCCCCUUGUAUUAUUUUUCCCUUUCCCCUCACUUCCUCUUGUAUGUACUUUUGUAUAACCCUGAGGGUCUCCUUCCAUUUCCAUGCAAUUUCCCUUCUCUCUCCCUUUCCCUCCCACCUCUCAUCCCUGUUUAAUGUUAAUCUUCUUCUCCUGCUCUUCGUCCCUACUCUGUUCUUAGUUACUCUCCUUAUAUCAAAGAAGACAUUUGGCAUUUGUUUUUUAGGGAUUGGCUAGCUUCACUUAGCAUAAUCUGCUCUAAUGCCAUCCAUUUCCCUGCAAGUUCUAUGAUUUUGUCAUUUUUUAAUGCAGAGUAAUACUCCAUUGUGUAUAAAUGCC
rnacentral:lncRNA from 1 species